UACGCAGGGUGCAAGCGUUACUCGGAAUUACUGGGCGUAAAGCGUGCGUAGGUGGUGAGUUAAGUCUGUCGUGAAAGCCCCGGGCUCAACCUGGGACUGGCGAUGGAUACUGGCUCGCUAGAGUGCGGUAGAGGAGAGUGGAAUUCCCGGUGUAGCAGUGAAAUGCGUAGAGAUCGGGAGGAACAUCAGUUGCGAAGGCGGCUCUCUGGACCAGCACUGACACUGAGGCACGAAAGCGUGGGGAGCAAACAGG
rnacentral:rRNA from 1 species